GACGAACGCUGGCGGCGUGCCUAAUACAUGCAAGUAGAACGCACAGUUUAUACCGUAGCUUGCUACACCAUAAACUGUGAGUUGCGAACGGGUGAGUAACGCGUAGGUAACCUGCCUGGUAGCGGGGGAGAACUAUUGGAAACGAUAGCUAAUACCGCAUAAUAUUGAUUAUUGCAUGAUAAUUGAUUGAAAGAUGCUAUUGCAUCACUACCAGAUGGACCUGCGUUGUAUUAGCUAGUAGGUGAGGUAACGGCUCACCUAGGCGACGAUACAUAGCCGACCUGAGAGGGUGGUCGGCCACACUGGGACUGAGACACGGCCCAGACUCCUACGGGAGGCAGCCGUAGGGAAUCUUCGGCAAUGGGCGGAAGACUGACCGAGCAACGCCGCGUGAGUGAAGAAGGUUUUCGGAUCGUAAAGCUCUGUUGUAAGGGAAGAACGGGUGUGAGAGUGGAAAGUUCACACUGUGACGGUAUCUUACCAGAAAGGGACGGCUAACUACGUG
rnacentral:rRNA from 1 species